rnacentral:rRNA from 1 species
GACGAACGCUGGCGGCGUGCUUAACACAUGCAAGUGGAGCGACGAACCGGGGCUUGCCCCGGGGCAGAGCCGCGAACGGGUGAGUAACACGUGGGUUACCUGCCCUGAUGACCGGGACAACCCGUCGAAAGACGGGCUAAUACCGGAUGUGCCCGCAAGGGGAAAGGAGGCGUAAGCUUCCGCAUCGGGGUGGGCCCGCGGAGCAUUAGCUUGUUGGUGAGGUAAAGCUCACCAAGGCUUCGAUGCUUAGCUGGUCUGAGAGGACGAUCAGCCACACUGGGACUGAGACACGGCCCAGACUCCUACGGGAGGCAGCAGUGGGGAAUCUUGCGCAAUGCGCGAAAGCGUGACGCAGCAACGCCGCGUGCGGG